rnacentral:ncRNA from 1 species
AUAUAUAUAUAUAUAUAUAUAUAUAUAUAUAUAUAUAUAUAUAUAGCAAAUGAAGUCGGAAACAUUGAGGAAAGCCCGAGUCAGAGUUCCCUUUUCUGGUUAGGGAACGGACUUCUUGGAAUCGGUUCAGCCGGAGAUGGAGAUGUUGUUUCCGUAAAGCGCCACGGUUCCUGUGGUGUUCGUGCGCUUUUUUCAAUAUAUAUUAUUUUACGUAUAUAUACGUAUAUAUGUUAUG